rnacentral:rRNA from 1 species
AGCGUAGACGGUAUGGUAAGUCAGAUGUGAAAGCCCGGGGCUCAACCCCGGGACUGCAUUUGAAACUAUCAGACUAGAGUGCAGGAGAGGUAAGUGGAAUUCCUAGUGUAGCGGUGAAAUGCGUAGAUAUUAGGAGGAACACCAGUGGCGAAGGCGGCUUACUGGACUGUAACUGACGUUGAGGCUCGAAAGCGUGGGGAGCAAACA